UGAACAUGAUGAUGCCAGAGAAUGGUUUCGCUUAUUUGGCUGAAGUCCCUUGAUGUCACAUUUCUCUUGGCUGUCUGAUGAA